UCGCCUCGUCACGAAGGAGUCAUCGCCAUUAGCAUCAUUGGAAUGUCGUUGGAACGGUUGCACCAUAUUUCAAUUGUCUCAGCGUUCGCUCGUCCAUUACAGAACGAAGGAGGAUAUGAUUUUGUGUCGUAAGAGGUUUUUGCUGUUUGUUUCGAGCAGCGGCUACAGUCUUGCGUCCCGUCAGGCCAUGAAAGAACAAAGGAGUGUAUGAUUUUGCGUCGUAAC